AUUGAACGCUGGCGGUAUGCUUUACACAUGCAAGUCGAACGGCAGCACGGGUGCUUGCACCUGGUGGCGAGUGGCGAACGGGUGAGUAACAUAUCGGAACGUGCCCAGUAAUGGGGGAUAACUAACCGAAAGGUUAGCUAAUACCGCAUACGCCCUGAGGGGGAAAGCGGGGGAUCGUAAGACCUCGCGUUAUUGGAGCGGCCGAUAUCUGAUUAGCUAGUUGGUGGGGUAAAGGCCUACCAAGGCGACGAUCAGUAGCAGGUCUGAGAGGAUGAUCUGCCACACUGGAACUGAGACACGGUCCAGACUCCUACGGGAGGCAGCAGUGGGGAAUUUUGGACAAUGGGGAAACCCUGAUCCAGCCAUUCCGCGUGAGUGAAGAAGGCCUUCGGGUUGUAAAGCUCUUUCGGCAGGGAAGAAACGGUUCUGGAUAAUACCCGGAGCUAAUGACGGUACCUGAAGAAGAAGCACCGGCUAACUACGUGCCAGCAGCCGCAGUAA
rnacentral:rRNA from 1 species